GUUAAUAUCCUCUUGACUGCGGUUGACAACACCGAUAUAACCUAAACGAAGUGGAAUAACUUUCCCAAGCAGAAAGCUCCUCGCAUUGGUACCCUUAUCCAUUAUAUCUAACUUAGUAAUUACACCAAUUGUACGUGUACCAGUUGGAUCCACCUGUUUGGCCAUUUGUAGUGCAUCAGAAUUAGCCAAAUCCGCAUUUGCAGGAGAAACAGCCAAUAUAAUUGAAGUUUCUUGUUUUAUAUAGGACAUUAUCAUAUCUCUGAUCCU
rnacentral:misc_RNA from 1 species